rnacentral:rRNA from 1 species
CACGUAGGAGGCAAGCGUUAUCCGGAUUUACUGGGCGUAAAGCGCGUGCAGGUGGUUCGGUAAGUUGGAUGUGAAAGCUCCUGGCUCAACUGGGAGAGGUCGUUCAAAACUGCCGGACUUGAGAAUAGUAGAGGAAGAUGGAAUUCCCGGUGUAGUGGUGAAAUGCGUAGAUAUCGGGAGGAACACCAGUGGCGAAAGCGGUCUUCUGGACUAUUUCUGACACUCAGACGCGAAAGCUAGGGUAGCAAACGGG